AACAGGUCGUCCGUACCGCAGCCGGGACAGGUAGAUGAGAUGAGUAUUCUAAGGCGCGUGAAAGAACUCUGGUUAAGGAACUCUGCAAACUAGCACCGUAAGUUCGCGAUAAGGUGUGCCACAGCGAUGUGGUCUCAGCAAAGAGUCCCUCCCGACUGUUUACCAAAAACACAGCACUUUGCCAACUCGUAAGAGGAAGUAUAAGGUGUGACGCCUGCCCGGUGCUCGAAGGUUAAGAGGAUGCGUCAGUCGCAAGAUGAAGCGUUGAAUUGAAGCCCGAGUAAACGGCGGCCGUAACUAUAACGGUCCUAAGGUAGCGAAAUUCCUUGUCGGUUAAAUACCGACCUGCAUGAAUGGCGUAACGAGAUGGGAGCUGUCUCAACCAGAGAUUCAGUGAAAUUGUAGUGGAUAGUGAAAAUUCCUCCUACCCGCGGCAAGACGGAAAGACCCCGUGGACCUUUACUACAACUUAGCACUGCUAAUGGGAAUAUCAUGCGCAGGUAAGGUGGGAGGCUUUGAAGUAAGGGCUUUGGCUCUUAUGGAGCCAUCCUUGAGAUACCACCCUUGAUGUUUCUGUUAGCUAACUGGCCUGUGUUAUCCACAGGCAGGACAAUGCUUGGUGGGUAGUUUGACU
rnacentral:rRNA from 1 species